rnacentral:rRNA from 1 species
GAUGAACGCUGGCGGCGUGCCUAAUACAUGCAAGUCGAGCGAACAGACGAGGAGCUUGCUCCUCUGACGUUAGCGGCGGACGGGUGAGUAACACGUGGAUAACCUACCUAUAAGACUGGGAUAACUUCGGGAAACCGGAGCUAAUACCGGAUAAUAUAUUGAACCGCAUGGUUCAAUAGUGAAAGACGGUUUUGCUGUCACUUAUAGAUGGAUCCGCGCCGCAUUAGCUAGUUGGUAAGGUAACGGCUUACCAAGGGAACGAUGCGUAGCCGACCUGAGAGGGGGAUCGGCCACACGGGAACUGAGACACGGUCCAGACUCCUACGGGAGGCAGCAGCAGGGAAUCUUCCGCAAUGGGCGAAAGCUUGACGGAGCAACGCCGCGUGAGUGAGGAAGGUCUUCGGAUCGUAAAACUCUGUUAUUAGGGAAGAACAAAUGUGUAAGUAACUAUGCACGUCUUGACGGUACCUAAUCAGAAAGCCACGGCUAACUACGU